UAUCUCUGUAGAGUCUGCAUAUCAAUAAGCGGAGGAAAAGAAACUAACUAAGGAUUCCCUCAGUAACGGCGAGUGAAGCGGGAAGAGCUCAAAUUUGAAAUCUUCAAGGGUUCUACCUUUACGAAUUGUAGUUUAAAGAAGUGUUUUCUGUUGAGGUUUUGGUAAAAGUUCUUUGGAAUAGGACAUCAUAGAGGGUGAGAAUCCCGUAUUUGACCAUUAUUUUCAGCUGUGUGAUACACUUUCAAAGAGUCGGAUUGUUUGGGAAUGCAGUCCAAAAUGGGUGGUAAAUUUCAUCUAAAGCUAAAUAUUGGCGAGAGACCGAUAGCGAACAAGUACCGUGAGGGAAAGAUGAAAAGAACUUUGAAAAGAGAGUUAAACAGUACGUGAAAUUGUCAAAAGGGAAGCGUUUGACACCAGUGUUGUUUUCUCGAAAAUCAAUUAAAAAUGGCUUGAUUUUGUGUUGUAUUGACCUUAAAAGCUUUCUUCACUUUUUUCAUGUCUUUUUUAAUGCACUUUUCGUUUAACAAGUCAACAUCAGUUUCUUUUGUUGUAAAAAGGUCAUUGGAAGGCGGCUUUCUUUUCGGAGAAAGUGUUUAUAGCCUUUGACUUCUGCAAUCGGAGAGACUGAGGUCUGCAGCGUAAAUCCUUCUGGAUUAGAUUCAUUUGUGCUAAGUUACAACCGUUUAUAGACAACUUGUUGACUAUAUUCGAUCCUGUAGCUUACUCGCUUAUGUAAUUUUACCUACGCUUAGGAUGUUGAAGAUGUAGCACAUCAU
rnacentral:rRNA from 1 species